GAACAACGCUCAUUCAGACAUGGGAGGAGUCCCUACUGACGUUAGUGAUCAUGUAUAGCUUUCAAAAUACUCCCAUUCAUCACAAAUGCAUUUAACUUCUGGUAAAUAUGCUCUAAUUAGGAGGCUGAGCAGACUUGAGGAGGAGAGGCUGUGAUGACUAACACAAUGUUUAGCCCACAGGUUCAUCCAUGCUGAAAUGCUGAUUUCCGCUGUCCUGCUAAAAAUAGCAUCCCGUCGUACACGCGGUGUGGAGAGAUGUAUGUGUCACAGCCGCCAGUGGUGGGGGCCGGGGUGGGGACUUACAGACUCUCACAUGUUCCCGCCAUGAGUUCCCCCAUGAGCCCAUCCCAGGAGACAGCAGUGGGCCAUUUGAUAACAAAUAUGGGCACUGGAAGCAUCCACUUACAUGCUCCACAGCUACUUUUUUUUUUUUCCUAUAGCUAGCCGUGCGUAGCCGUGACGCCACUGCAAUGUUUGCCAUUUGGAAACGCAUGACUGGAGCACUGAGAGAGCUGUCUGGGGCUUUGGCACCCCCACUCAGUCAAAACUCACAAACCCGGAGUUCAACUCUCCAGUGGUGCACAAUCUGAAGGGAUGUUGAAUCACGAUUGCGUGGACUGUGGAGCUUUGAGACGUCUGGUUUUUAGGCCUGGAUUAUAAUAUGGUGAUGAGAGGCUCUGAAGCAGAAGGCUGUGGCGACCGUGUCGGACUUCUCCCGGUCCUGCAACACCAACCCCUUGUCCUCGGUGAGGGCCAGGUAGUGACCCGUGGUCAGGUGCCGCAGUCGGAAAGGCUGGCCCCAGCGGAUGUGGCUCCCGCUCCAGCUGUCAAGACUACAGCAUCACAUCCUUCAAAGAGAGACAUGCGUGCCCUGAUAACUCACAGCUACACUGUCUAUCAGUGAUAUGGGUGACUGGGUCCAAAGAUAAAAGAAGUCGCUCACCCUCCCACCCCCGCUGACAGCUUGGAGUGUGUUUGAUCUGCCCCAGAAAAAUGUAAGACCUCUAAAAAGCGUGCUCCUUAUGUUGAAUUUCAAGGACAACACAGGGGGAGAAAAGCCAAAGCUGGAAAUUAAUAUCUAAUCCCGCCCCCAUAUUUGCCAUGCUCUGUUCUAAAAAUAGACACUGUGUAUGUGUGUGUGUGUGUAUGUGUGUGUAAAGUGUGUGUGUGUGUGUGUAAAUGUAUGUACAUCUCCUGGCACCUGGCUGAGUGUGUACAGGCCUUGCCCGCUGUUUUGACCCACUUCAAGCCCAGUGUGCCAUUUUUGUGCGGCCUACCUUAUCUGUGUUGGCACUAAGCAGCGAUACUGUGGAUAAAAAUAACACAGCCGCCAUUUUGGCUCCCCUGGGAGCCAAGUGUUACGCUGGUCACAGGCGUUUUUAUGAAGGGAGGUGGAAGCAGAGGCACCACAGGGUAACUCACAGGUCAGGUAGC